rnacentral:rRNA from 1 species
UGGGGAAUAUUGCACAAUGGGCGCAAGCCUGAUGCAGCGACGCCGCGUGGGGGAUGACGGCCUUCGGGUUGUAAACUCCUUUCGCUAGGGACGAAGCGCAAGUGACGGUACCUGGAGAAGAAGCACCGGCUAACUACGUGCCAGCAGCCGCGGUAAUACGUAGGGUGCGAGCGUUGUCCGGAAUUACUGGGCGUAAAGAGCUCGUAGGUGGUUUGUCGCGUCGUUUGUGUAAGCCCGCAGCUUAACUGCGGGACUGCAGGCGAUACGGGCAUAACUUGAGUGCUGUAGGGGAGACUGGAAUUCCUGGUGUAGCGGUGGAAUGCGCAGAUAUCAGGAGGAACACCGAUGGCGAAGGCAGGUCUCUGGGCAGUAACUGACGCUGAGGAGCGAAAGCAUGGGUAGCGAACAGGAUUAGAUACCCUGGUA